rnacentral:rRNA from 1 species
GACGAACGCUGGCGGCGUGCUUAACACAUGCAAGUCGAACGAUGAAGCAGAGCUUGCUCUGUGGAUUAGUGGCGAACGGGUGAGUAACACGUGAGCAACCUGCCCCAUACAUCGGGAUAAGCGUUGGAAACGACGUCUAAUACCGGAUACCGCCUCGGACCGCAUGGUCUGAGGCUGAAAGCUCCGGCGGUAUGGGAGGGGCUCGCGGCCUAUCAGCUUGUUGGUGAGGUAACGGCUCACCAAGGCGACGGCUGGUAGCCGGCCGUGAGAGGGUGACCGGCCACACUGGGACUGAGACACGGCCCAGACUCCUACGGGAGGCAGCAGUGGGGAAUAUUGGACAAUGGGCGCAAGCCUGAUCCAGCAACGCCGCGUGAGGGAUGACGGUCUUCGGGUUGUAAACCUCUUUCAGUAGGGACGAAGCGAAAGUGACGGUACCUACAGAAGAAGGACCGGCCAACUACGUGCCAGCCGCCGCAGUAAUAC